ACGAGUAGCUCAUUUGGAAGAGCAUCGAGUUGAUAACUCGACGGUAGCCGGUUCAAAUCCGGUCUCGUCAA
rnacentral:tRNA from 1 species